UACGGGGGGGCAAGCGUUGUUCGGAAUUACUGGGCGUAAAGGGCUCGUAGGUGGCCGACUAAGUCAGACGUGAAAUCCCUCAGCUUAACUGGGGAACUGCGUCUGAUACUGGAUGGCUUGAGUUUGGGAGAGGGAUGCGGAAUUCCAGGUGUAGCGGUGAAAUGCGUAGAUAUCUGGAGGAACACCGGUGGCGAAGGCGGCAUCCUGGACCAACACUGACACUGAGGAGCGAAAGCCAGGGGAGCAAACGGG
rnacentral:rRNA from 1 species